rnacentral:lncRNA from 9 species
GUCAUCUACAUCUGCAAAGAUUUUCUCCUAUUUUCUGGGUUGCCUUUUCAUUUUUUAUAGUUUCCUUUGUUGUGCAAAAGCUUUUAAGUUUAAUUAGGUCUCAUUUUUAAUUACUCUAGGAGGUGGAUCCAAAAAGAUAUUGCUAGAGUUCCCAUCAUGGCUCAGCAGAAACAAAUCUGACUAGUGUCCAUGAGGUACGAUCACUGGCCUAGCUCAGAAGGUUAAGGAUCCUUCACUGUCAUGAGCAGUGGUGUUGGUCGCCGAUGUGGCUCAGAUCCUGUGUUGUUGUAGCUGUGGUGUAGGCUGGCAGCCAUAGCUCCAAUUUGACCCCUAGCCUGGGAACCUCCUCCAUAUGCCAUGAAUGCAGCACCACCCCCCAAAAAAGGAUAUUGCUGAGAUUUAUGACAAAGAAUGUUCUGCCUAUGUUUUUAUGGUAUUUGUUCUAACACUUAGGUCUUUAAUCCAUGUUGACUUUAAGAUUUUUAUUUUUUCUACUGUACUUAAUUCACAAUGUUCUAUCAAUUUCUGCUGUACAGCAAAGUAACACAGUCACACAUAUAUAUCUAGAUAAAUAGAUAGAUACACAUUCUUUCUUUGACAUUAACCUUCAUCAUGUUGCAUCACAUGUGACUAGGUAUAGUAACCUGUGCUAUACAGCAUGAUUUCAUUGCUUAUCCAUUCCAAAGGCAAGAGCUGACAUCUACUAACCCCAAACUACCAGCCCAUUCCACUCUCUCCCCUUGCCCCCUGGCAACCACAAGUCUGUUCUCCAAGCCCAUGAGUUUCUUUCUUUCUGUAGAUAGGUUCAUUUGUGCUGUAUAUUAGAUUACAGAUACAAGUGAUAUCAUAUGGUAUUUGUCUUUCUGUUUCUGAUCUAAUUUACUUAGUAUGAGAGUCUCUAGUUCCAUAUCAUGUUGCUGCAAAUGGCAUUAUUUUGUUUUUUUCUAUGGCUGAGGAGUAUUCCUUUGUGUAUAUAUACCACACUUCUUAAUCCAUUCAUGGACAUUUUGUUUCCAUGUCUUGGCUAUUGUGAAUAGUGCUUCAAUGAACAUAUUGGGUGCAUGUGUAUUUUUCAAGGAAAGUUUUGUUCAAGAUAUAUGCCCAGGAGUAGAACUUCUGGGCCAUAUGGUAGCUCUAUAUUUAGUUUUUUGAGGUACCUCCAUACUGUCUUCCAGAGUGGUUGUACCAAUUUACAUUCCCACCAACAGUGAAGGAGGGUACCAUUUUCUCCACACCCUCUCUAGCAUUUGUUAUUUGCCAGACAAAACAGACUUUAAAAUGAAGGCCAUAAGAAAAGAUGAAGAAGGACAAUAUUGAAUGAUAAAAUGAUCCAUUCAAGAAGAGGAUAUUACUAUCAAAAAAAUAGAAAAAAAUCAAUAAAACAAUGAGCUCUUUCCUUGAAAGGGUAAACAAUUGAUAAAUCUCUGCCCAGACUCACCAAGAGGAGGAGAGAAGAAACUCAAAUAAACAAAAUGAAAAGUGAAAAAGGAGAAAUAUAUAUGGAUACUGCAGAAAUACAAAAAAAAUAAGAGAAUACUAUGAACAAUUUUAUAUGCCAACAAACUUGAUAACCUAGAAGAAAAGGACAACUUUCUAGAGACUUACAGCCUGCCCAAAUGGAAUCAAGAAUAGAUCAAGUCAACAGACCAAUCAAUAGAAAUGAAAUUGAAUAUGUAAUAAAAACACUCCCUACAAACAAAAGUCCAGGACCAGAUGGCUUCAAAGGUGAAUUCUACCAAACACACACAGAAGAACUUAUACCCAUCCUUCUUAAAAUUUUCCAAAAGGUUGAAGAAGGAAUACUCCCAAACACAUUCCAUGAAGCCACCAUCACCCUCGCACCAAAACCAGACAAAGAUACUACUAAAAAAGAAAGUUCCAGGCCAGUAUCUUUAAUGAAUAUAGACACAAAAAUUCUCCACAAAAUUUUAGCCAACUAAAUCCAGCAACAUAUUAAAAAGCUCAUACACCAUGACCAAGAGGGGUUCAUCACAGGUUCACAAGGAUGGUUCAACAUAUGCAAAUCAAUCAAUGUCAUACAUCACAUUAAUGAACAAAAAGUCAAAAGCCACAUGAUCAUCUCAGUAGAAGCAGAAAAAGCAUUUGACAAAAUCUAACAUCCAUUCAUGAUAAAAACUCUUACUCAAGUAGGUAUAGAGGGAACAUAUCAACAUAAUCAAAGCCAUUGAUGUCAAACCCACAGCCAAUGUAACACUCAACGGAGAAAAGGUGAAAGCCUUCCCACUAAAAUAUGGAACAAGACAAGGAUGCCCACUCUCACCACUUUCAUCAGUUUAUUUUUGUGAAUGGUGUUAGAGAAACAUUCUUUUACAUGUAGCUGUCUAGUUUUCCCAGCAUCACUUACUGAAGAGAUUGUCUUCUCCACUGUAGAUUCUUGCCUUAUUUUGUUAUAGAUUAGUUGACCAUAGGUGAGUGGGUUCAUGAUUGGGCUUUAGAGCCUGUUCCACUGAUCUAUGUUUGGUUUUGUGUCAGUUCCAUACUGUAUUGAUAAUCGUGGCUUUGUAGUAUAGUCUGGAGCCAGGGAGCCUGAUUCCUCAAUUUCUGUUUUUCUUUUUCAAGAUUGAUUUGGCUACUCAGGAUCCUUUGUGUUUUCACACCAACUCAAAAAUUUUUGGUUUUAGUUCUAUGAAAAAUGCCAUUGGUAAUUUGAUAGGAGAUUUCACUGAAUUUGUAGAUUACCUUGGGUAGUACAGUCAUUUUGACAAUAUGGACACUUUCAAUCCAAGAGCAUGGGGUACACGUUGAUAUGUGUGUGUCAUCUUCAAUUUCUUUUAUCCACAUUCCACACUUUUCACUACAGAUCCUUUGCCUCUUUAGGUAGGUUUAUUCCUAGUUAUUUUAAUACUUUUGAUAUGAUAAUUAAUGGGAUUGUGUCCUUAAUUUCUCUUUCUGAUGUUUUGUUACUAUAUAUGAAUGCAAGAAAUUUCUGUGUAUUAAUUUGGUAUCCUGCAACUUUACUGAAUUCAUCGAUGAGCUCUAAUAGUUUUCUGGUAGCAUCAUCAGGAUUUUCUAUGUAUAGUAUCAUGUCAUCUGCAAACAGUGUUUCACUUCUUUUCCAAUUUUGAUCCUUUUAUUUCUUUUUUUCUGACUGCUAUGGCUAGGACUCUCUUUUUUUUCAUUUUUUUUAUUACUCAAAUGAAUUUAUCACAUCUGUAGUUGUAUAAUGAUCAUAACAAUCUGAUUUCACAGGAUUUCCAUCCCACAGCCCAAGCACAUCCUCCCAUCCCCCAAACUGUCUCCUCUGGAGACCAUAAGUUUUUCAGUGUCUGUGAGUCAGCAUCUGUUCUGCAAAGAAGUUCUCUCUGUCCUUUUUUCAGAUUCCACAUGUCAGUGAAAGCAUUUGAUGUUGGUGUCUCAUUGUAUGGCUGACUUCACUUAGCAUGAUAGUUUCUAGGUCCAUCCAUGUUGCUAAAAAUGCUGGUAUUUCGUUCUUUUUGAUGGCUGAGUAAUAUUCCAUUGUGUAUAUGUACCACAUCUUCUGGAUCCACUCCUCUGUCAAUGGACAUUUAGGUUGUUUCCAUGUUUUGGCUAUUGUAAAUAGUGCUGCAAUGAACAUUGGAGUACAUGUGUCUUUGCGAGUCGUGGUUUUCUCUGGAUAGAUGCCCAGGAGUGGGAUUGCUGGAUCAAAUGGUAGUUCUAUGUUUAGUUUUCUGAGGAAUCUCGAUACUGCUUUCCACAGUGGUUGCACCAAUUUACAAUCCCAGGACUUUCAAUAUUUUAUGGAAUAAAAGUAGUGAGAAUGGACAUUCUUGUCUUAUUCCUGAUUUUAGUGGAAAUACUUUCAGCUUUUCACCAGUGAGAAUGAUGUUAGCCAUUGGUUUUUCUUUUUUUUUUGUCUUUUUGUCUUUUUGCCUUUUCUAGGGCCACACCCAUAGCAUAUGGAGUAUAUCAUACACAUCAAAUAUCUGGUAUGAUUUUAAAAAGUUAUGUUGUAACCCAAUACUGGAUGCCAGAUCAGGGAAGAAAGAACACAACACUGAAUCAGGCUGAACCUGUCCAGGUGGGCUUACUUGCAUACACAGAUAGGGUAUUCUAGAUUCAUGGUGUUAGCUUCAUUGUGGGAAAUAGUUCUAACAAUUUGAUUUGUAACUGGAGCAUGAAUUCAAAUAUGGCUUAUAUUAUAUGAGGUUGAAAUAGCCUAACUCCAUGUGAUAGAUAGGAAGGAAUCACAGAGCUUAUGGGGAUAGGACACCUGAUGUGUGCGCAAAUUGCUCAACAUCCAAAAAAAAAGAGAAUUUUCCCUUGGAUUUCACAGAAA